AUUGAACGCUGGCGGCAUGCUUUACACAUGCAAGUCGAACGGCAGCGCGGGCUUCGGCCUGGCGGCGAGUGGCGAACGGGUGAGUAAUGCAUCGGAACGUGCCCAGUAGUGGGGGAUAGCCCGGCGAAAGCCGGAUUAAUACCGCAUACGACCUGCGGGUGAAAGCGGGGGACCGAAAGGCCUCGCGCUAUUGGAGCGGCCGAUGUCGGAUUAGCUAGUUGGUGGGGUAAAGGCUUACCAAGGCGACGAUCCGUAGCUGGUCUGAGAGGACGACCAGCCACACUGGGACUGAGACACGGCCCAGACUCCUACGGGAGGCAGCAGUGGGGAAUUUUAGACAAUGGGGGCAACCCUGAUCCAGCCAUGCCGCGUGCGGGAAGAAGGCCUUCGGGUUGUAAACCGCUUUUGUUCGGGAAGAAAUCCUCUGGGCUAAUACCCCGGGGGGAUGACGGUACCGGAAGAAUAAGCACCGGCUAACUACGUG
rnacentral:rRNA from 1 species